rnacentral:rRNA from 1 species
GACAGAGGGUGCAAACGUUGUUCGGAAUUACUGGGCGUAAAGCGCGUGUAGGCGGCUCUGCAAGUCAGGUGUGAAAUCCCACGGCUCAACCAUGGAAGUGCACUUGAAACUGCAGGGCUAGAGUCCUGGAGAGGAAGGUGGAAUGCUUGGUGUAGAGGUGAAAUUCGUAGAUAUUCGGAAGAACACCAGUGGCGAAGGCGGCUCACUGGACUGGUAUUGACGCUGAGGUGCGAAAGCGUGGGGAGCAAACAGG